rnacentral:lncRNA from 2 species
GACAGCGGAUCAUCGCACCUUGCCAACAAACCGCCCUCUACCAAAGCUGCCUAUGAUCUAAGCUUUUCUGAGUUACCGGUUGACCCAUUUGCUGGGCCCACUUGGGACAACCAUGCUCAAACCAAAUGCAAGAUCUUCCUUUGGACGGCGCACAAGAGACCCAUUUGGCACUCCUAUGGACUCGAUGAACAGCAAGUCGCCUCCCUAGCACAGCUCGAAGACCUAUGGGGCCUCCCACUCCCUGACAAUGCUCUCACCCCUCGGGUCUGGUGCACUAUCUUACUCGCCGUCGUUUGGAACAUCUGGAAACGCCGCAACAACAAGAUCUUCAUCUCCAUCGACGAAACCAACACGCUAGUUCUUCGUCGCUGCGCCAACGAUAUCGAGUUGUGGUCAAACCGAUGUAACGACAUUGUAGGCAAACAACAACUUCACUCUUGGGCGCUAAAUCUUUCUGUAAUUAACCACUAA